rnacentral:rRNA from 1 species
UACAGAGGUCCCAAGCGUUGUUCGGAUUCAUUGGGCGUAAAGGGUGCGUAGGCGGCGCGGUAAGUCGGGUGUGAAAUCUCGGGGCUUAACUCCGAAACUGCAUUCGAUACUGCCGUGCUUGAGGACUGGAGAGGAGACUGGAAUUUACGGUGUAGCGGUGAAAUGCGUAGAUAUCGUAAGGAAGACCAGUGGCGAAGGCGGGUCUCUGGACAGUUCCUGACGCUGAGGCACGAAGGUCAGGGAGCAAACGGG